GGGAUUGCCUUAGUAACGGCGAGUGAAGCGGCAAUAGCUCAAAUUUGAAAGCUGCCCCCCGGCCGCGUUGUAAUUUGUAGAAGAUGCUUUGGGUGCCGGCUUGGUCUAAGUUCCUUGGAACAGGACGUCAUAGAGGGUGAGAAUCCCGUACGUGACCAGGCUUAACCCCAUGUAAAGCUCUUUCGGCGAGUCGAGUUGUUUGGGAAUGCAGCUCAAAAUGGGUGGUAAAUUUCAUCUAAAGCUAAAUAUUGGCCAGAGACCGAUAGCGCACAAGUAGAGUGAUCGAAAGAUGAAAAGCACUUUGGAAAGAGAGUUAAACAGUACGUGAAAUUGUUGAAAGGGAAGCGCUUGCAACCAGACUUGCGGGCGGUCGAUCAUCCGAGCUUCUGCCCGGUGCACUCGACCGUUCUCAGGCCAGCAUCGGUUUUGGUGGUGGGAUAAAGGCUGUGGGAAUGUGGCUCUUCGGAGUGUUAUAGCCCACGGUGCAAUGCCGCCUACCGGGACCGAGGACCGCGCUUCGGCUAGGAUGCUGGCGUAAUGGUUGUAAGCG
rnacentral:rRNA from 1 species